UCUCUACUGAUGGUACCAGACUUCAGUUUCAUAGUCUCUCUGCUCUAGAAUCUGUUUCCCUUUGCAGAAAGACCUGAAUCAUAAGACUUUAUGCUUUGACAUUUUGCAGUUUCCUAGGCUCAUAAAGCUAAAUUUCCUGGGGUAAAUUAAUUUAGAAACUUUCCAACUAAGUUUAUUAAACAUUCUUCUGCCAUGCUUUUGCUGGCGAUUAUGGAGACCAUGCUUUUUGAGGCACUACUGAUAAGUCUGA
rnacentral:lncRNA from 1 species